rnacentral:rRNA from 1 species
GGGCCCGCACAAGCGGAGGAACAUGUGGUUUAAUUCGAUGAUACGCGAGGAACCUUACCCGGGCUUGAAUUGCACUCGAAUAUGGUUGAAAGAUCAUAGCCGCAAGGCGAGUGUGAAGGUGCUGCAUGGUUGUCGUCAGCUCGUGCCGUGAGGUGUCGGCUUAAGUGCCAUAACGAGCGCAACCCUUAUUUCCAGUUACCAUCGGGUGAUGCCGGGGACUCUGGAAAGACUGCCGUCGUAAGAUGUGAGGAAGGUGGGGAUGACGUCAAAUCAGCACGGCCCUUACGUCCGGGGCUACACACGUGUUACAAUGGGUGGUACAGAAGGCAGCUACACGGCAACGUGAUGCUAAUCCCAAAAACCACUCUCAGUUCGGAUUGGAGUCUGCAACCCGACUCCAUGAAGCUGGAUUCGCUAGUAAUCGCGCAUCAGCCACGGCGCGGUGAAUACGUUCCCGGGCCUUGUACACACCGCCCGUCAAGCCAUGAAAGCCGGGGGUACCUGAAGUGCGUAACCGUAAGGAGCGCCCUAGGGUAAAACUGGUAAUUGGGGCUAAGUCGUAACAAGGUAGCCGUACCGGAAGGUGCGGCU